rnacentral:rRNA from 1 species
GAUGAACGCUAGCGGCAGGCUUAAUACAUGCAAGUCGAGGGGUAGCAGGGUAGCAAUACCGCUGACGACCGGCAAACGGGUGCGGAACACGUACACAACCUUCCUUUUAGUGGGGAAUAGCCCAGAGAAAUUUGGAUCAAUACCCCAUAACAUAGCGAUGUGGCAUCACAUUGUUAUUAUAGGUUUACCGCUAAGAGAUGGGUGUGCGGCUGAUUAGGUAGUUGGCGGAGUAACAGCCCACCAAGCCAACGAUCAGUAGCUGAUGUGAGAGCAUGAUCAGCCACACGGGCACUGAGACACGGGCCCGACUCCUACGGGAGGCAGCAGUAAGGAAUAUUGGACAAUGGACGCAAGUCUGAUCCAGCCAUGCCGCGUGAAGGAUUAAGGCCCUCUGGGUUGUAAACUUCUUUUAUAGGGGACGAAAAAAGGGCUUUCUAGCUCGUCUGACGGUACCCUAUGAAUAAGCACCGGCUAACUCCGUGCCAGCCGCCGCAGUAAAAC